GGGGCUCGGGGCCGCGGUGCCCGCCCUUGAGGCGAUGGCGACCGCCCGCUGCCCGCCUUUCCUUCCCCCUCCCUUCCCCCCCCGGGGGCCGGCGGCUCGGAGGCGGCCCGCGACCAUUUUCUGUGGCGCCGCUGCCAUUUCGGGAGGGCCCCGAGGGCCUUUCCAGCUUUCUGAAAGCUGAACGGCUUUGGAUCUGCCCGGCGCUCCUAGGAAGAAGAAGAAGAAA